UUUCUUAUGUUUAAAUUCUUUUUAUGUACAUCAGUUACAUUUGCAGUCAAUAUUUAUACAAAAGUUCAUGUAAGCUAUUUAGACCUUUGGCGGGAAAACUGUUCGUGCUAUGUUUCACCCACAUACAUGCCAACUUUCCUGAUUUGUGCGGGAUUUUCCCGAUUUGAAGCAGUUGAAAAGGCAAAUCCCGAUAUCCCGAUCGGGAUUGCAAAAAUACCCCGAAAUCCUGAUUUUCUAAAAAUAUCUCCCAUUUUACGACAACAAACCCCCAUUUCCAACCGGAAUUUGAAAUCCCGCGUCAUUUCUGAACUGGCCAAUCAGAAAUCGGGACAAUAGUCAGCCAUUGCUGUUUACCUGUGUCGCAUGGUAUCGGAGUGAUGUAAUUUACUUGGUCUGCCCGUGUCGGGGUGCUUAUUGGACAGUGCGAAGCAUGUUUUGAUAGUAAUUAAUCGGGAAGACGGAUUUCAAAUUGACAUAUCCUUUACACAAACGUGAAUGGCAAUGAUAAUAGUGUCACCACCAAACAAUCGGACAUUCCCAAUUUUUGCCUCUCGCUGACAGCAUCCAAAAUAUGCAAUAUUAAAGAUGUCAUGGGUGUAAAGGUUUUGUUCGCAAACUUCAUAGCAGGGCAGAUCACUCCUUUUCUGGUUGCAAUGCAGAUUGUUCCACCAGACUCUGCAAGCCCAUGAAAUUGUUUACAGACAAGCAAGAUCGCCUUUGUAGUCGUACCUAUAAAUGCAUGUGCUUUAAUCUAAAUUUUGAUAUAUAGACCAGCCAAUGUAUAUAUGGUGUAAAAGGAUGCAACUUUAAGUAUUAUUUGAUAAUAUGUAUGUGAUUUGUUGGAGAGGAUUUUUUGCUGAAUAGAUGAUUUUAAUAAAAUACUUAUAUAUAUCUUUCAAAGUUUUUUUUUUAUACCCCCCGCAACAAGUUGUGGGGGGGUAUACUGGAAUCGGGUUGUCCGUCUGUCCGUCCGUCUGUAGACGCAAUGGUUUCCGGACUCUAAAGCAUUAUCCUUUCCACCUACCGUCACCAUAUCAUACAUAUGGACUACCCAUGGGAUGAAGAUGUUCCCUAUCGAUUUUGGGGUCAAAAGGUCAAAGGUCAAGCGCACUGGACAUCGAAGAAGCAAUAUGGUUUCCGGGCUCUAAAGCGUUAUCCUUUCCACCUACAGUCACCAUAUCAUACAUAUGGACUACCCAUGGGAUGAAGAUGUUCCCUAUCGAUUUUGGGGUCAAAAGGUCAAAGGUCAAGUGCACUGGACAUCGAAGUAGCAAUAUGGUUUCCGGGCUCUAAAGCGUUAUCCUUUCCACCUACAGUCACCAUAUCAUACAUAUGGACUACCCAUGGGAUGAAGAUGUUCCCUAUCGAUUUUGGGGUCAAAAGGUCAAAGGUCACGCGCACUGGACAUCGAAGUAGCAAUAUGGUUCGGUUUGUCAUGCCAUUUGUUUUUUACACUCAGAAAAGAGGUAGUUUAUACCUAUUACCAACACCCUUUGGGAGAUUGGGGUAAGCGGGGGAUAUUCUUAGUGAGCAUUGCUCACAGUACCUCUUGUUUUAUAUAGUUUUGUUAAAGUUAAUGGUCAAACACACUUGAUGUAUGAUACAUGUAUAAUGAUUAGAUUGAUAUUUUAUUUGAAAAGACAAAUAUUUAUUUUCAUGGUAUAAUGUGAAUUUUGAGCGUUGAAAAAAGGUCGUCGCGCGCAAAAUCCCCCAUGGGGAUUUUCAAAAGUUGGCAUGUAUGCACCCAUGCAUAAACUAGUCUUUCAAACUUUCAAAGUAAGAUUUAUUAGGUAGUCAUUUUCAGUUCUAUAUUUAUGUCAUACAUUUUUAUUAUCUUGCGUAAUUUCUUGUUGUAAAUCAUAGACAAUUUAGGUUUAUUUUUUGUCAAGCAAGUGAUAUUUAGUCAUAUUAAUUCCGUCAGUCAUAUUUAUUAUAUUGAAUUAUUCAUUGUUACACCAUUAUGUCAUGUGUAAUGUCUACAUAUUCGGAAUUGUAAUAGAGUGUCAUAUUUUUGUUACAGCUUUUUACUAAUAUCAUACCCAAUAAAGAAUUAACUGAAUCACAAUGGCUAUAGUGAUCAGUACAGACAGUAUUUAUAUUAGGCCAAAAUAAAAAAAAUAGGUGUGUUUCCGACUAAAUAAGAAAUAUUGCCCCGUAUCACUGCAUGGGGAAGAAACUUGUACACGAUGCAUACAUUUGUGAGUACUGACAUGUAGCAUCACAUGUUCAGUAUUGGGUAAAAUUAGUAUUACUAAAAUAAACCAAAAAAUUACAUUUGGACGACUGAUUUUAAGCUAUUUUAAAUCAACACAUGAUUGCAUGUAUACCUGUUUUGAUUUACUUGCAGCACAUGAGUCGGCAGUUCUACAACGUAAACAACAAUCACUGAGCUUCGCGAGCAUGUAGCGAGCGCUCGAUGGUUACGCUCGUGAAGCUCAGUGGUUGUUGUUUACAUUGUAGGCCUAGACCUUUACAGAUAAUUUGAAUAUCGAACCCGAAUUAUCAUGAAAAAAUGUACGUAAUUUAAGGGCUGGAAUUUAUCUAGAAAAUUAGGGUCAGGAGAAAUAUUUACUGUUGAUCAGGUAACUGCAAAAAUCACUUUUGUCUUUUUGUUGUUGUUGUCUUAUGUUAAACUUUGAAUAAGCUAUGUAGCUAUAUGUAUGUUAAUUAUUUAUCAUGGAAAUUUUUAUGAUUUGAUCGGAAAA